rnacentral:rRNA from 1 species
UACGUAGGGGGCAAGCGUUGUCCGGAUUUAUUGGGCGUAAAGAGCUCGUAGGUGGUUCGGUAAGUCGGAUGUGAAAUCUCCAGGCUCAACCUGGAGGGGUCAUUCGAUACUGCCGUGACUAGAGUUCGGUAGGGGAGUGUGGAAUUCCUGGUGGAGCGGUGAAAUGCGUAGAUAUCUGGAGGAACACCGGUGGCGAAGGCGGCGUUCUGGACUGCUACUGACACUGAGGAACGAAAGCCAGGGGAGCAAACGGG